UACGUAGGGUGCAAGCGUUGUCCGGAAUUAUUGGGCGUAAAGAGCUCGUAGGCGGUUUGUCGCGUCUGCUGUGAAACUCAGGGCUUAACCCUGAGCCUGCAGUGGGUACGGGCAGACUAGAGUGUGGUAGGGGAGAUCGGAAUCCUGGUGUAGCGGUGGAAUGCGCAGAUAUCAGGAGGAACACCGGGUGGCGAAGGCGGUUCUCGUGGGCAUGGUCCUGACGCUGGAGGAGCGAAAGUGUGGGGAGCGAACAGG
rnacentral:rRNA from 1 species